rnacentral:rRNA from 1 species
UCAAGCAAGAAGAGGUUUGCGGCGGAUGCCUGGGAGCUGUCCGGCGAAGAAGGCCGCGGUAAGCUGCGAAAAGCUGCGGGGAGGAGCACACAUCCUGAGAUCCGCAGAUAGCCGAAUGGGGUAACCCGUAUGUCGCAAGGCAUACACCGCGCGCGGGAAGAAGAUACUGCGGCGGAGCGAUACUGCGUGAAGUGAACCAUCUAAGUAACGCGGGAAGAGAAAUCAAAAGAGAUUGCGCAAGUAGCGGCGAGCGAACGCGCAGGAGCCUAAACCCUUAUGUAGGGUGUUGCAGGGCCGCACGGGGAUGACCCGUGGAGUUGGUGAGAAAACCGAUAUGUAGCGGAAGCGUCUGGAAAGGCGCGCGAGACAGCGUGAAAGCCGCGUAUGCGAAAGAUAUCGGACUCCAUGGUGCGGUACCUAAGUAGGGCGGGGCACGAGAAACCCUGUUUGAAUCCGGGUCGACCACGAUCCAAGGCUAAAUACGAGACAGCUACCGACAGCGAAGAGUACCGUGAGGGAACGGCGAAAAGAACCCCGGUGAGGGGAGUGAAAGAGAACCUGAAACCGCAAACCGACAAGAUGUCACGGCGCGCGAGCGUUGUGGCGUGUCUUUUGUAGAAUAAACCUGCGAGUUGCGAUGCGCGGCGAGGCUAAGGGUUGGGAGAUCCGGAGCCGGAGCGAAAGCGAGUGUGAAAAGUGCGAAAAGUCGCGUGUCGCAGACCCGAAGCCAAGGUGAUCUAAUUAUGGGCAGGCUGAAGGCAGGGUGAAACCUGUUGGAGGGCCGAACAGUAAUCUGUUAAAAAAGGUAGUGAUGACCUGUGAUUAGGAGUGAAAGGCUAAACAAACCUGGAAAUAGCUGGCUCUCCCCGAAAUGCCUUUAGGGACAGCCUCAUGCAAAGCGGAAGGAGGUAAAGCACCGGAUGGGAUAGGGGGCGUCACAGUCUACCGACACCAAUCGAACUCAGAAUGCCAUCCGCCAACGCAUGGGAGUGAGACUGUGUGCUCCAAGGUUCAUAGUCGAGAGGGAAACAGCCCGGACCGACGGCAAAGGUCCCGAAAUAACGCUCAGUGUGAAAUGAGGUGCGUCUGCACAGACAGCCAGGAGGUUGGCUCAGAAGCAGCCAUUCCUUAAAAGAGUGCGUAACAGCUCACUGGUCGAGCAGGCGUGCGCAGACAAUGUAACGGGGCUAAGCGUUAUACCGAAGCCGCGGGUCCGCAUUGUAAGAUGCGGGCGGUAGGGGAGCAUUGCGCUAACCGAAGAAGGCGUACCUGUGAGGGGCGCUGGAGGAAGCGGAAGAGAGAAUGCAGGCACAAGUAACGAAAAGACGGGUGAGAUUCCCGUCCGCCGAAAGCCUGAGGAUUCCCGGGUAAAGGCAAUCUGCCCGGGGUAAGUCGGCCCCUAAGGCGAGGACGAAAGUCGUAGUCGAUGGGAAAUCGGUUCAAAAUCCGAUACCCGGCUCAGUUUUGAAGGCAGGACGCAUGAGGUGAAAUCCGGCAGGAGAACGGUAGUUUCUGUCCAAGCGGUAAGGUGUUGAGAGGGCGGUUAAAAGAGCCCUUGAGCUGAGCCGUUACGGGGAGCGGAGCGCAGGCGAAGCGAAGCGGAUGUAAUCAAGGUGCCGGGAAAUACUGUCUAAAGCUAGGCUGAGUCGGACCGUACCGGAAACGGACACACGCAGGCAGGAUGAGUAAUCUAAGGCGCACGAGCGACCCCGCGUUAAGGAACUCGGCAAAAAGCACACGUAACUUCGGAAGAAGUGUGGCUCACGCUGAUAAGGAUGUGAGCGGCAGAAAGCAGGCCCAGGCGACUGUUUACCAAAAACACAGCCAUCUGCGAACCAGUAAUGGGACGUAUAGGUGGUGACACCUGCCCGGUACCGGAAGGUUAAGGGGAGGGGUUAGCAGGAAUGCGAAGCUCCGAACCGAAGCCCCGGCAAACGGCGGCCGUAACUAUAACGGUCCUAAGGUAGCGAAAUUCCUUGUCGGGUAA